rnacentral:tRNA from 7 species
GUAGACGCUACGGACUUGAAAAUCCGUUGGCUUUAUUGACCGUGAGGGUUCAAGUCCCUCUACCCCCA